ACAUUCCUAAUCCAUCUCAAUAGGUACAUAAUACUUAAACUAGAGUAAUUGGAAUGACUACAUGAAGACAAUGAAAGCUAACACGAGAUAGUGCUACACAUACAAAAGUUAUGUCAAAAGCCGAGAGGAAAUUUCUAUCUAAUAAUCAACUCGAUCGCUUCCCUUUUGCAUUCGCUUCCGCACUAGAAUUCGCCUUACAUAUUUGCACAUUCACCAAAAUAUGUAGGUCUUCAUCAUCGUUUAGGUGAACGCGAGAUUCAAACAUUUUGGACAUUUCUUCAUCAUUUUUGUUUGUCGCAAAGUUUACUAAUGAAGAAUUGUUGCUAGACGAUUCAUCGGGUGAUUUUUCUUUGACAACCCAAUCUCAAAAUCCGCAUUUCUCACUGCAACAGAGAAAUAAUCUCUCUUUAUUUGCUGUCUGCUUCUCCACCAUGAAAUACUUCUCAUAUCCAUUCUUGCAUGCCGGGCAUCUGCACUUCCUUGGGCAUUCAUCAAAGAAAUGGCCCCUAGCUCUACAACUAUGACACAUUCCUCUAUUCUUUCCGCCCAUUCUGCCAUACAAAUAAAUCACGAUUAACAGAAAUGAAUUCACGGCCACUAUAACAAUUAAAGAAACCACGUCAAUAUUGAAGAACAUUGAUAAUUUCAUCUCAAAUUUCACAGUGAUCAUGCAAUAACAGGCUGUGAUUGUUGACAAUUGCUGACAACAUGUUGGAAUGCAACAUACAGAGCCUUCUUCAUCAUUAAUGUAACAUGUUAGACCCCCUUCAAUUUAGCAGCACUAAACUAUGAACAACCAUGGAGGUGAACACUCGAAAAUAACAAAAACACAAACAUUAACUUCAUAGUAACGUGGAAAAAUAGUGAUAAAGAUGUAUAAUGACAUUGCACAAUGAAAUUAAAAAGAAUAAAAAUUUCAUACAAAGACACCAACAGUUCACCAACAAUUCACAAAUUUUUUAUACGAAUUUAAUAAAAAAUGUGCAAAAAUGGGAGAUGAAGAUUGCAAUAUCCCGAAAUUCAGCUACGCGAUGCCAUAUCAUAAACAAAUCU
rnacentral:lncRNA from 1 species